rnacentral:rRNA from 1 species
GAUGAACGCUAGCGGGAGGCUUAACACAUGCAAGUCGAGCGGUAGGGGUAGCAAUACCCUGAGAGCGGCGCACGGGUGAGUAACGCGUAUGCAACCUACCUUUUACAGAGGGAUAGCCCGGAGAAAUUCGGAUUAAUACCACAUGGCACUAUAGACCUGCAUGGGUUUAUAGUUAAAGAUUUAUCGGUAAGAGAUGGGCAUGCGUGACAUUAGCUAGUUGGUAGGGUAACGGCCUACCAAGGCGACGAUGUCUAGGGGUUCUGAGAGGAUGAUCCCCCACACUGGUACUGAGACACGGACCAGACUCCUACGGGAGGCAGCAGUGAGGAAUAUUGGUCAAUGGGCGCAAGCCUGAACCAGCCAUCCCGCGUGAAGGAUGAAGGCCCUAUGGGUCGUAAACUUCUUUUAUAUGCCAAGAAAACGACCUACGAGUAGGUUUUUGACGGUAGUAUAUGAAUAAGCAUCGGCUAACUCCGUG